GAUGAAGAACGCAGCGAAAUGCGAUAAGUAGUGUGAAUUGCAGAAUUCAGUGAAUCAUCGAAUCUUUGAACGCACAUUGCGCCCCUUGGUAUUCCAUGGGGCAUGCCUGUUCGAGCGUCAUUUGUACCUUCAAGCUCUGCUUGGUGUUGGGUGUUUGUCUCGCCUCCGCGUGUAGACUCGCCUUAAAACAAUUGGCAGCCGGCGUAUUGAUUUCGGAGCGCAGUACAUCUCGCGCUUUGCACUCAUAACGACGACGUCCAAAAGUACAUUUUUACACUCUUGACCUCGGAUCAGGUAGGGAUACCCGCUGAACUUAAGCAUAUCAAUAAGCGGAGA
rnacentral:misc_RNA from 1 species